UCCCGCCGGAAUUGUGUUCCCCCCGGGACGGUGUCGCGGUAACACCGGUCCACUUCCGGGUUGCGCCCGAUGUCACAAUAACAACGCUAAUGACAGAUUGACAUCUGGUGUGGGGAGUUUGAUGUGGUGAUCUGUGAGAGGAUUAUGGAGGCGGAGUAACCACAUAAAAAGAGAAGUGCAGAGACCAUGGGGAGGGUUGAUUCUUAUUGGUCGUUCGUUCUCCCGGCUAUUCUUCCUGGUUGUCUUUCCCCCGUAUGUGGUUCUUCUCUUCGGAUGUGUUCCCCUAGGAGAGGUGAAUUCCUGGGACGUUUGGGCUGGCGUGUGGAGGUAUUUGAGGACUAUUGUGGGGUUUCGGCUAUCUGGCUGUGCAACAGAUAUAUCAGCGAUCGAGUGGAGAUAUUCAGGACAGAAAGAGUGUGAGUUCUGGAAAGCAAGUGAAGACCAGGCCGCGCCAUCACUAUCGGAGGGAAGUUGAGAGACCUGAUCUGGGACUUCGAUCAAUUGUAUACAUCUGGACUGGGAGUGAUAACGUUGUGAAGUGGAUGGAGCCAUCGUUGGGUGAGUGCUGGCUCUAUUUGCACUAAGAGUGGGUGUGCCGUGUCUGAAGUGGUGUGUUUGCACAAUAAAUCGUUUGAAGUGAAGUUACAGAGUGUGGGGAAGAUAUAUAGAGUUAAUGCCGGACGCUCACCACCCCGAGAGCCCACCACCGUCACCGUAAUCCACACCCAGGCACUCAACUGAAGUAUCCCCCAGCCGUAAGCCCCAUUUCUUAUUCAAGAACACAUACAUGCUGUUGAUUACUUACUCUGCUGUGCAGAUCGCAGGAUCCUCUGGGCCGAACGCCGCAUGUGAUGUCCCUAUGAAAGGAGGUGGACACAAGAAUUAUUCCUUUCCCGGUCACAACCGAAGCAUCUCCCAGCCGUAAGCCCCAUUACUUAUUCAAGAACACAUACUUACUGUUGAUUACUUACUCUGCUGUGCAGAUCGCAGGAUCCUCUGGGCCGAACGCCGCAUGUGAUGUCCCUAUGAAAGGAGGUGGACACAAGAAUUAUUCCUUUCCCGGUCACAACCGAAGCAUCUCCCAGCCGUAAGCCCCAUUACUUAUUCAAGAACACAUACUUACUGUUGAUUAUUUACUCGGCUGUGCAGAUCGCAGGAUCCUCUUUGCCGAAUGCUGCAUGUGAUGUCCCUGUAGAAAGAGGUGGACACACGAAUUAUUCCUUUCCCGGUCUUAACCGAAGCAUCUCCCAGCCAUCGUAGGAUCCUCUGGGACGAAUGCUGCAUGUGAUGUCCCUAUGAAAAGAGAUUGCAGGAUCCUCUGGGCCGAACGCUGCAUGUGAUGUCCCUGUAAAAGGAGGUGGACACGAGAAUUAUUCCUUUUCCCGGUCUCGACCGAAACAUCCACGAGCUCUACUUACCCGGAUACCCCCCCUCACUCCGGGACGGGUGACAGACUAUCCUGGCUCUUGCUGGCCCCGUACAGGCACGAACUGCCGACGACUCCACGCCUUCCCGGCGUCCGAGGUCUGGCUCCGUUCUGGUCGGGAGACACGGAAGGAACACUGAACUUUUAAAUUGCUUUUAACCAAAUAAAACCUUGUUCAUUUUUUA